rnacentral:rRNA from 1 species
GACGAACGCUGGCGGCGUGCCUAAUACAUGCAAGUCGAACGAGUGGCGGACGGGUGAGUAACACGUGGGUAACCUGCCCUCCUUUUUGGGAUAAGCCUUGGAAACGGGGUCUAAUACCGAAUAAAGGGGGAUGGGCUCGCGGCCUAUCAGCUUGUUGGUGGGGUGAUGGCUACCAAGGCGUGACGGGUAGCCGGCCUGAGAGGGUGACCGGCCACAUUGGGACUGAGAUACGGCCCAGACUCCUACGGGAGGCAGCAGUGGGGGAUAUUGCACAAUGGGCGAAAGCCUGAUGCAGCGACGCCGCGUGGAGGAUGACACUUUUCGGAGCGUAAACUCCUUUUGUUAGGGAAGCGGUACCUAACGAAUAAGCACCGGCUAACUCCGUGCCAGCCGCCGCGGUAAUUC